AGUUAGACUGAAAGAGUGGAGACGUUAACUUGCACGACCGACAAUCAGUGUGAUGCUUAUUCUUGGCGAAACAUCAUGAGGAAACUAGACACGAGUCUUAGACAGACACAAUCGACAUUUUGACACUUUAUAGAUUGUCAUACUGCCGGAAUAAAUCAUUGCGAGCUUUGGCAAUACAGCACUUUGAAAAUUGAUAUGAAUUUGCAUAAAUUUGUUGUACAGACCCGUAACCAAGGGGGGUGCACUGGGUGCACGUGCACCCCCCCAGAGAAGCUGAAGGUCCGCUCAUCUACCUCCAUGUUUUUCAAAAAUCAUAUGAAUCUUUGUUUUAGAUUUAUUUGUCGAAUUUAUCCACGAAUCGACCGGAUUUGUUUUUCAAAACAAACUAUGGAUUCGAACCGAAUUUAUGAAGGACCUUAUUUAAGGUGUAGUUCUAACGCACAAUCAAAAAUAAUAAAUAUAAUCAAAAACGGUAAUAAGUGUUAUAAGUUAUAAUACGCUGGUGUGUAUUUCAUGGGAUUGGGAAAACCACUCCGACUUUAAUUGAUACUAAAAAGGAAGCCAAAGAAUGGUCCGGUUUAAUGAGAUGUGUACCCCCUGGUAGAAGUUCUGGUUACGGCCCUGUUGUAGUUUAUUUACCGCGGAUGUAAAUAAUAAUUUUUGUUUACUUAUUUCUGUACUUCAGAACCUUCURAGGCAACAAUGUUCAAGAAAAAAAUGACUUCAGGACCCUAUGGGAUGUCUGAGACCUCGGGCCCUUCUGAGACAAAAUCGAAGGAAAAAAUGACAACAGGACCUCAGCUGCAUGAAGACGAACCGAUCCCUUAGGAUCUCUUAGGAGUGGGGGUGCUUGACGGAA